rnacentral:rRNA from 1 species
UACAGAGGCCACGAGCGUUAGGCGGAAUCACUGGGCUUAAAGCGUGUGUAGGUGGAUGACUACGUACCUUGUGAAAUCCCACGGCUCAACCGUGGAACUGCUUGGUAUACUGGUUGUCUUGAGGCACUCAGGGGCGAGCGGAACAGAUGGUGGAGCGGUGAAAUGCGUAGAUAUCAUCUGGAACGCCAAUGGUGAAGACAGCUCGCUGGGGGUGUACUGACACUGAGACACGAAAGCCAGGGGAGCAAACGGG